rnacentral:lncRNA from 12 species
UCAGUCAUUAUAUGGAAUGCUUUCACAAACUGUCUGCUGUGGUCUACAGGGCUUCAUUUGUCUUCCCAUUUCAGGAGGACUUCAGCACUCCUGACACAGAUGGGACAUUGCAAGAGGACUUCACCACUCUUGACACGGAUGGGAGGUUACAAGAUUUCAUUGCUCUUGCUGUUCCAAAAGAGAGUCUCAGAGAUGAGAGCAAAAGGAUGGUGAUGGGACUGGAUCCUGAAAAAUUCCCUUUGUUAAAUCCAAGUGGAAUGGAUACAUCAAUAUUUGAUGAUUUGGCAAUAAGUGCUAUCAAAAAUUUAGCUGGAUUUAACCUAUCAAAAAAAUCCCGAGGUCUAAAUCGGGGGACAAAUGAUCCAGCAAUUCUUCCCCGAGUAAAGAAGAAGUUAUCUGAUGCACAUUCUCAGAAGUCUACUAGCAAGAGGUCAUCUCGGGAUGAAACAAAGCGAAAAAAAAGUGAAAAAGGCAGAAAAUCUCUUACCAGGGAUGAGAGAUCUGAGAUUUUUGGAAAGAAACCUGCAAAGUCUGAGUGAGUCCUGUAUUUCCAGAACAAGAAGUUAAUCUAUAAAAACCCUUUAUUGUAUAUAUGUAUGUA